CCUGUCUACGCAGGUCGGGAUGUGACCCCCGCGGGCGGUUCCGCGGGGGUUGAACCACGCA
rnacentral:ncRNA from 1 species